CCUUGGGUGGUGUAAACAGUUAACACGCUCGGCUGCUAAGCCGGAGGUUGGUGGUUCGAGUCCACCCAGAGGCA
rnacentral:tRNA from 1 species